rnacentral:tRNA from 1 species
AAAGAAAUAUGUUAACCAAAAUAAAGCUUCUAACUUUAAUUUUUAGCAGUGAAACUCUGUUUAU